AGGGUAUGCAGUUGCCAUGAAGUGUGGGGCAACCAAACAACAUUUUGAUGCAACUAUUGGAAUCCAUCCAACUGUUUCUGAGCUUUUUACAACACUAUCAGUUACCAAAAACUCGGGUGGAGAUAUUAUGGCAAAAGGAUGCUGAGGUUAGACCCUGCUGUUGAAUGCCCUCUACAACUAGUUAACUAAACGAGACAUCAAGUUCAAUUUUCCAAGCAUAACAUCGCUAAUGGACACAAUAGAUGCAGUAUAUAAGGAUCUUGACAUGUUCUUGUUUAAAAGUCGUAGCUGGGUAACUACAGCGGGGUUACAUCACAACGUGUGUGCCACACAUCUUGCAACUCUGCGUAAGAACAAAGCGCGUGUAUGACGGAUUUGACCAGAAACCUGCAGUGACGGGACGGCAGAUCUUGAUGAAGACUUGCAACUUGUUUGGACCUGACCAAUCAAAUCAUUAAUUUCUGAUGUUCUGAUUGGUCACCUUUUGCUUUUUGGGGGGGGGGGGGAAGGGGGGAGGUGGGUGUGUAUCAUUAAAACAUGAGAUUGUUAUUUUUACUAAAGUGUCUUGAAAAUUUGUUAAAUUUUUCAUGAAAUAAAUUUAUAAAAUGUAAAAUGUGAAAGAAAAAUAUAUGUAAUUACAUUGCUCAUAUAUCUGCAAUAUAUGAUUUUAUUUUCAUGUAGCCUAACCAUGUAGAUUAACCAGAAACACAUUUUAUGAAAUAAACCACUAAUAGGAAGAUUAAUUGCAUGGAAGUCAGCUUGGUUUUGGGGCGUGCUUACAUUUUUUUUUUAACUACUGUACAUGCCUCUUAAAUCAAAUUUAUACAUAGUCUGCCUUGCUCAAUUCAACUGUGCGUAGUCUAAAAUUUGUCGUUAACAAUUCUAGCUCAAUACUGUAAUGUUGUGUUUCUACAGCUCCUCAUCAGAGCUAAAAAAAACAUUGACUUGCAUGGAUAACGACAAUUAAAUGGCUUCAGGCAGAUAUCCCACGUUAACUGGACUUUACCCAACAAACGAUGAAUCAAUUUUUUUUUUAAAGUUGAUAAAGCCAUGUUGUAUUUGAUUUAGUGAGGUUGAACGUUUCACUGUAAUUCAUGUUGUCUCUAAAGCUGAUUUAUUCCUGUUUAUUAUAUUUAUUUAUUUUUUCAAAUUAUAGAAUUACAAAACAUAUGUAAAGUUACAAUGACAUCCAGAGUAUAACAUUGAAAGCAUACAAACUCUAUAAACUUGCUGAUGCAAACAAAUUAUAAUUGUUAUGCAGUAAUAUCUUGUAGCUGUAUUACUGCAGUAUUAGAAAGUAGUCAUGCCUUCAAUUUUUUCUCUUGUUAACGUAAUCGCUUGUCAACUGAAGCACAGGUGGGCAAAGUGUGUGUGUAUUUGCGGCCUGUGAAAAUGAAUUAGAAACCCUACAUGUGCUGCCCGCCAAACAUUUUUGGCUAGAAAACAUGGUGGUUUUUGCGGCCCGGCCAUCUCUAAAAAAAUAGUAAUUUAACUGAGAAUAAAGUGGUGUAAAAUUUUUGAAAGCACAUUGGAAACAUCAAAGUUUGAAAGCGGCCCUCGGUGUUUAGUCAAAAAUUCACUUUGGCCCUCCAACUGAUUUUGAUGCCCACCCCUGAAUUAAAGUGUAGUAAGCUGCCGCACCCCUCUUGAUUUCACCACUAGAUAUUGAAUGCAAUUUUUCAUGUUUUUGAUUUCAUCUCACACAUUAUAAUAACCAAGGUAGUAGAGAGUGAUUUAAACCUUUACCUGUAUUCAAUAAGUAAGAUGUAGGAGUUGUAUGAUCAAUAAAAAAGAGAAAAAAAA
rnacentral:lncRNA from 1 species